rnacentral:rRNA from 1 species
ACGCUCGACACCUACAGGAGGCAGCAGUAGGGAAUCUUCCACAAUGGGCGCAAGCCUGAUGGAGCAACACCGCGUGAGUGAAGAAGGGUUUCGGCUCGUAAAGCUCUGUUGUUGGAGAAGAACGUGCGUGAGAGUAACUGUUCACGCAGUGACGGUAUCCAACCAGAAAGUCACGGCUAACUACGUGCCAGCAGCCGCGGUAAUCUGAGCGGGCUGGCAAGGC